AUGACCGUCGGCGAGCCGGAGAUGCCGGCGUCGGCGCGCAGGCGUUUCUUCCUCGCCAGCGUCGACGCGCUCAUCUUCCUCAAUUGCGGGCUGCUGUGGGUCCUCUGCGCGGGGUCCCUCGCCUUGGUCAUCGCGCGCCUUGCCCUGGGUCAGGUCGAGGUUCCCCCCGCGCUCUGGGCGGCGUCCUGGGUCUCCAUUUACUUCCUUAUGUUGCUCGGCCCCGUUGCCUGGUUCCUCGCCGGCGCGCGCUCCUCGCGCUCCCCGUACACCACCACCGACGCCAACAAGGACAUGAUGGGGAUCCUCGUUCCGGCGGCCUUCAUGCUGCUCGCAAUUGAUUAUGAUAAGGUGGUGGGUCUGUUGGGUGUGGAAGGAUCUCAGAGGGAAUGGAUUGGUUCAAUGGUGAUGGAUUUGGGGUUAAUGGGUGCUGGUGCAACAUGUUUCGUCACCUUAACAACUAUGAUACUGAGGCAAUGGAGGAUGAAGUAG
rnacentral:rRNA from 1 species